UACGGAGGGUGCAAACGUUGCUCGGAAUCAUUGGGCGUAAAGCGCACGUAGGCGGUUUGUUAUGUCGGAUGUGAAAGCCCUUGGCUCAACUGAGGAAGUGCAUCCGAAACUGGCAAGCUAGAGUACUAAAGAGGGUCGCGGAAUUCCCGGUGUAGAGGUGAAAUUCGUAGAUAUCGGGAGGAACACCGGUGGCGAAGGCGGCGACCUGGGUAGAUACUGACGCUGAGGUGCGAAAGCGUGGGGAGCAAACAGG
rnacentral:rRNA from 1 species